CCCAAGCACCAGUGACAACAUCCCAUUGUCACCCUGGUGUCCCCAAGCACCAGUGACAACAUUUCCUCAGCCUCUGCCUCAGCUCACAGAUCCUGCAGAGUUUUGUGUCUGUUUCCCCGUGGAUUUUGUCUCUAUAUUUAAGGAUUAUCCCGUGGGAUACCAAACCCAGACUCUCCCUUCUCUACAAAACCUCCUGCAUGGAAUCCAAGAAAUCAGUCCCUGCUCUCUUCCUCUGUCUUUCUCAAGUGAUUUUCAAGUUGUGGACCCCAUGUCUCACAGCACCCUGAUUUCCAACAUCUCCAGCCCAGGCUUCUCACAAUGACUCAUUUGCCAGACAGAUUUUCCCUGCUGGAAUCGUCCCCAGCGUGGGAAUGUGCUGGAGCAGUUUCAGGUACAGCAGUUUGGGGCCCUAUUUUGUGCAGCUAGAGGAGGAGAAGUCAGAAAUGCGAGUUCAGAACUCAGCAACAGCAUUCAGAACCCCCAGGCUGUGGGGAAGAGGCUGGAUCUGUCCCACAGUGUUUGCUUCCCUCUGUCUCAGGGAAGGAACACGCCAAUCAUGCUUGGGCUUGAUCCUUAUCAAUGGAAUUAAAAUGCAAUUUAUUUUUUUGCAUUAAUUUGUAGAUUA